rnacentral:rRNA from 1 species
CAGAGAUGCUUUGGUGCCUUCGGGAACUCUGAGACAGGUGCUGCAUGGCUGUCGUCAGCUCGUGUUGUGAAAUGUUGGGUUAAGUCCCGCAACGAGCGCAACCCCUAUCCUUUGUUGCCAGCGAUUCGGUCGGGAACUCAAAGGAGACUGCCGGUGAUAAACCGGAGGAAGGCGGGGAUGACGUCAAGUCAUCAUGGCCCUUACGAGUAGGGCUACACACGUGCUACAAUGGCGCAUACAAAGAGAAGCGACCUCGCGAGAGCAAGCGGACCUCAUAAAGUGCGUCGUAGUCCGGAUUGGAGUCUGCAACUCGACUCCAUGAAGUCGGAAUCGCUAGUAAUCGUAGAUCAGAAUGCUACGGUGAAUACGUUCCCGGGCCUUGUACACACCGCCCGUCACACCAUGGGAGUGGGUUGCAAAAGAAGUAGAUAGCUUAACCUUCGGGAGGGCGUUUACCACUUUGUGAUUCAUGACUGGGGUGAAGUCGUAACAAGGUAGGCGUAGCGAG